AUAGGAUGCUCACCUAAUUCAAUUCUAAGGUAUCUCUUCCAUGGGCAAAUCUCUUCGCCAUUUAAUUAUUCUUACUCUGGACAACCAAAAUCUGAGAUACCCUCACACAAAUCUUCCUAUCUUCUUUCUUUCAACCAAAAAACAUUAUUUUGGGUUCUUCCCCCUUUAUCACAGUUUGGUUAUUUCCCAUGUUUCCUUAUAUUUUAAGGAUCUUUGAUACUCCCCCAUUCUCUUGUUAACACAUCCACUACUCGUCCACUAUUCUUCGUUGACGACCCUCCUCCAUUGCCAUAGCUACAGAUCUGGAAAGUCCAUCACUAAGAUAAGUAUUCGCUUCUUCAUUUAGCCCUCCUUCUGCAAGAUUAUGUGCAACUCUAUUUGUUUGUCUCGGUGCAUGCUUGAAUCUGUAAAUUACAAAGUUGCUUUUUAACUGUCUAGUGUUGACAAUAUAAACACUUAUUUUAUAUUUGUCUUUUUCAUCAUUUUGCAAUUUCUUAAUCACUGUUAAAGCAUCGCCCUCAACUUCGAUCUUUAAAAAACCCGACUUCGCACCAAACUGAAUUGUCUGGAUGCAAGCAAGUGCCUAUGUUGCAUAAUCAAUUGGACCUUCUGCUUUGUUUAUUGAAUGUAGCGUUAAAAUUUAUUUUGACAUUCAUGCCCUCCAGUGAUUGUCAGUAUUCAUUCACCGAAUAAUUGACAAGUAACUUUUUAUUUACCCCUUCCAAUUCUCUCAAAUAAUUGAAGAUAAAUUGAAUCGUAGCUUCACUUGUUUGCUGAUUUCUUUCAUGAACAAGUUUAUUCUUACCUGUCCAUAAAACCCAAAUUAUACAUGCUAUCAAUCUGCACCUUUGGUUAGAUUCUUUCUUAAAUAAGAGCUGCAUCCAUUCCUCGUACUGUAACUGAUUUUGCUCCUAUGUCCACUUGAUUCCUAAACUUUUCCAGAUUUCAAUUGCAAAUGGGCAAUCUCUAAAAACGUGUUCCAUACUCUCUGUACUGUGUAGGCACCUAGGACAAUUUGUUGAGCUUACCAACCUUUGUUGAUAUAAAUUAGAUUGAGUUGGCAGAAAAUUAUUAAGAGAUUUCCAUACUAUUAUUCUUAUUUUUUUAUAGUAAUUCCAGGAACCAAAGUUUCUUGUACAUUGAUCUAUAGAGGUUGUGUUCAGUUUGUAAAUUUGUAAUAUAGUCAUCCUAAAAUAAAAUCUUGUAACCACUACGCACUGUGUAAUCACCUAAAGCUUCACCUAGCCAUACCAGUCUAUUUGCUUGUUGAUCAAUUGGGAGAGGAAUGCACAAAAUUCUUUCAGCAUUAACUUGAUUAAAGGUAUGCUUAAUUAGGUCUUUUUUCAAACAGUUGGAAUGUUGUUCAAUUAAAUUAGACACAUAUUCUAUAUCUUGAUUUGCUGUUGAUGUUUGAAUCUUAUCGUUUUCGCACUUGGAAUCCAAGCCUCAUUCCAGAUAGGGAUUUGUCUUCCUGAGCCAACUCGCCAACAUGUCACUUCUCAAGAAGUCUCCUUGCUUAUCUCCUAAGUUUCAAAUCUAGUUGAAUUGUAGGCAAGGUAUUUGUCCCUUGACAAGUUAAAAGGUGAAAGAUGGUUGAUUAAUUGGUUUCCGUUGAUAUUAAAUGUUCAUUUGAACAUUGAAAAAAAACUUACAUGUAUCAUCCGAUGAAUUAUAGCGACAACCUCAAAUACACAAAUAUUUCCAUUUCACCA